ensembl:lncRNA
CUACAAGUCGAGGUAGGAAAAUAACAACUGGAAUUAAUCCUAGGAAAACUCAAGAAAGGCACUUCACUACAACUAGUGGCGAGGAGGACUAAAUACUAAAACUAAGGGCACAAACUCACGGUGGGUAAGACCCAGGCAAGAAAGGCUAAUUCUAAGAUUUCGCGACUCAAAACUACAGGCUCGCAAAUUACUUAGGCUACUAUGAUACAAACUAUUAUUUCAACUACUAAGGCUUUGAAACAAUAUGAAGCAACUCUAUAACUAUCAGAAACAGAUUUCAAAACAAUUCAAAUAGCUGAUGUUCGGACUGGGCUCUAACUGGAAACCUCUGGGUGCAUAUGAUCCAAGGCAAUUGCAGCGCCUGGUAGGUUAUGGUGAGAACACCAGGGGGUCAGGCCGGCUCUGGUGAGUGAAUCGCUGACGCUGAGGAACCAAGAGAGAGAAGCGACAGAGAACCCAGGUGAGUCCAAGCAGGAACAGGUGGCUCUGGAGCUAGGACGAAGGAGGACAACCAGAGUUACAGGCACAAGAAUCAGUAGUUUCAAAACAACUGUGGUACACAAGUGAACAGUUACAGGCUGUGUCACAAUCCAGCACUGGGAGGUGAGUGGUGUCUGGUUUUAUUGCAGUGUGUGAGGCUUAAUUGGCUGCAUUCCAUCUGCUCCUGAACCGGCUGAUGAUUGUGGUGAUGUAGAACACCUGCCGCUGCAAUUACUCCAUGGAAAACCUAAAAAGGAAGAAAGGGGAGGAGAGAGAGGGGGAGAGGGUGCUAUCUGGGCCUGGCAGCUACCAACCUGACACAAAGAGCACCAGUUCAGGUUGGUAGAGAGAGAAGAGUGGCCAGGAGAGGGAGAGGAGGAAGGAGAGGAAGACCAAGAGCUGUGGUCUCUGAUGAAAUUAGGGCCACAGUGAUUGACCAUGUGGUAAAUCAUGGACUCUCUUUUAGAGAGGCUGGUUCAAGGGUGCAGCCAAUCUUGCAGCAUUCGACAGUUGCAUCAAUCAUGAGAAUUUUCCGGUAGAACAACAGGUAAGACAUGCAUCCCACAAUUGCCGUAUUUUACCAGAUUUUAUUUUUAAAAAGUUUUCUGUUUUUACAUCAGCUGGCAUUUUGGGAAAUCUAUUGAUUACAGUAUUUUGUGUUUCAUAUUACUGUACUGUAUGUAGGAUGUGUAGGUUGCCACCUAAAGGGGGGGGGGAGGUCGAAUUUUCACGGAUGUCCAGGAAACAGCUGUCAUUGAUAUGGUCAUUGCAAACAAUGCCAUGAAGCUGAGGGAAAUUCGGAACAGAGUGCUGAAAGACAAUGCAGACUUUGCCAAUGUGAACACCGUCAGCACUACCACAAUUGCCAGAGUCCUUGAGAAGCAUAAAGUAAGGAUGAAGCAACAGUACAAAGUACCUUUCGAAAGAAAUGAUGAACGUGUCAAACAACUCCGUUAUCGGUAUGUUCAGAUGGUCAUGGAGAUGGAGGCCAGACCAACUCCACAUGAAUUUGUAUAUGUGGAUGAAGCAGGAUUCAACCUGGUAAAAGACGCAGAGGAAGAAAUGUCAUUGGGCAGCAGGCAACAGUUGAUGUACCAGGCCAGAGAAGCGCAAAUAUUAGGGUGAAGAUGAACCGGAUUGGAUGAAGACUGAAGACACCCGCGGAAUCUGCCUUAACCUAGACCAAUCAGAUAGAAGCACAUUUCCAUAUAUAAACCUCUGUAUAAUGAUACGUUAGCAUUCCCUCUUGUGACGGUUGCAGAAAUUCUCUGUAGACUAGACAAUUGCUGUUAGCUAGAUCAAGCGGGAAUCUGUAUGCAUACAUUCUGAUCAUUGAAUGCUAC